GUAAUAGCUCACUGGUCGAGUGACUCUGCGCGGAAAAUGUAACGGGGCUAAGUAUACAACCGAAGCUUGGGAUUGUCUAAAGACAGUGGUAGGGGAGCGUCGUGUAUGGGGUGAAGUCGCAUCGGAAGGAGCGGUGGACUGUACACGAGUGAGAAUGCCGGAAUGAGUAGCGAGAAUUAUGUGGGAAUCAUAAUGGCCGAAAAUCUAAGGUUUCUUGGGGAAGGUUCGUCCGCCCAAGGUAAGCCGGGAGCUAAGGCGAGGCCGCAAGGCGUAGUCGAUGCACAUACGGUAGAAAUUCCGUAGCCACCGAACCUUAAACCGGAAGGACACUUUCAGAUAGCAGAACCCAGCCGUUGGUAGAGCUGGGCGAAAGGGACUGAAAUAUAGUAGGGAAGUCUGCGAUGCUGAGAGGCGAGAAAAGCUCCGGUGUAUGCUAAGGUGCCCGUACCGCAAACCGACACAGGUAGAUGAGGAGAGAAUCCUAAGGCCAACGGGAGAAGGGUUGUUAAGGAACUCGGCAAAUUGACCCCGUAACUUCGGAAGAAGGGGAGCCCCGAAAGGGGCCGCAGUGAAUAGGCCCAAGCAACUGUUUACCAAAAACACAGGUUUAUGCUAAAUCGAAAGAUGACGUAUAUGAGCUGACGCCUGCCCGGUGCCGGAAGGUUAAGAGGAGAUGUCAACCUUAGGUGAAGCAUUGAAUUGAAGCCCCGGUAAACGGCGGCCGUAACAAUAACGGUCCUAAGGUAGCGAAAUUCCUUGUCAGGUAAGUUCUGACCCGCACGAAUGGCGUAAUGAUUUGGGCACUGUCUCAACAGCCCGCCCGGCGAAAUUGUAGUACUGGUGAAGAUGCCAGUUACCCGCAACUAGACGGAAAGACCCCAUGGAGCUUUACUGCAGUUUAAUACUGGGAAUCGGUAAUGCAUGUACAGGAUAGGUGGGAGACUUGGAAGCAUAGUCGUCAGGCUAUGUGGAGUCACCGGUGGGAUACCACUCUUGUAUUGCUGGUUUCCUAACCUGCGGCCGUGAAUCCGGUCGGGGGACACUGUUAGACGGGCAGUUUGACUGGGGCGGUCGCCUCCAAAAGAGUAACGGAGGCGCUCAAAGGUUCGUUCAGCACGGACGGAAAUCGUGCAUUGAGUGUAAACGCAUAAACGAGCCUAACUGCGAGACCGACGGGUCGAGCAGUAACGAAAGUUGGAGUUAGUGAUCCGGUGGUAUGUGAGUGGAAAUGCCAUCGCUCAACGGAUAAAAGCUACCCUGGAUAACAGCUGAUCUCCCCCAAGCGUCCACAGCGACGGGGAGGUUUGGCACCUCGAUGUCGGCUCGUCGCAUCCUGGGGCUGUAUUCGGUCCCAAGGGUUUGGCUGUUCGCCAAUUAAAGCGGCACGCGAGCUGGGUUCAGAACGUCGUGAGACAGUUCGGUCCCUAUCUGUUGCGGGCGUAAGAGAUUUGAAGGGAGCUGUCCUUAGUACGAGAGGACCGGGAUGGACGUACCUCUGGUGCACC
rnacentral:rRNA from 1 species